UACGGAGGGUGCAAACGUUGCUCGGAAUUAUUGGGCGUAAAGCGCACGUAGGUGGUCUAUCAAGUCAGGUGUGAAAGCCCUGGGCUCAACCCAGGAAGUGCACUUGAAACUGACGGGCUAGAGUACUGGAGAGGUUGGUGGAAUUCUCGGUGUAGAGGUGAAAUUCGUAGAUAUCGAGAGGAACACCGGUGGCGAAGGCGGCCAACUGGACAGAUACUGACGCUGAGACUCGAAAGCGUGGGGAGCAAACAGG
rnacentral:rRNA from 1 species